UUCUUGCGCCUGUUGUGGGCAAAUGAAGUGAAUAUGCGUGUCAAAGCCACCAGCCGUCACGAUGCUUCCCUCGCUAGCAAUCACGUCCGUGCAAGAUCCUACGACCAAGUUCGGAUCUACACCAUCCAUGACGUCUGGGUUGCCCGCUUUUCCAAUGCCGACAAUGUGGCCGUCCUUGAUACCGAUAUCAGCCUUGAAAAUGCCAGUCCAGUCGACGAUGAGCGCAUUUGUGAUGACGGUGUCGAGGCACUCGGCAUCGGAACGACCUCCCGCCUGGCCCAUACCUUCUCUGAG
rnacentral:sRNA from 1 species